UACAGAGGGGGCAAGCGUUGUUCGGAAUUACUGGGCGUAAAGGGCGCGUAGGCGGCCUGCUAAGUCGAACGUGAAAUCCCCGGGCUCAACCCGGGAACUGCGUCCGAUACUGGCAGGCUUGAAUCCGGGAGAGGGAUGCGGAAUUCCAGGUGUAGCGGUGAAAUGCGUAGAUAUCUGGAGGAACACCGGUGGCGAAGGCGGCAUCCUGGACCGGUAUUGACGCUGAGGCGCGAAAGCCAGGGGAGCAAACGGG
rnacentral:rRNA from 1 species